AGAGUUUGAUCCUGGCUCAGGAUGAACGCCGGCGGUGUGCCUAAUACAUGCAAGUCGUACGCACUGGCCCAACUGAUUGAUGGUGCUUGCACCUGAUUGACGUUGGAUCACCAGUGAGUGGCGGACGGGUGAGUAACACGUAGGUAACCUGCCCCGGAGCGGGGGAUAACAUUUGGAAACAGAUGCUAAUACCGCAUAACAACAAAAGCCACAUGGCUUUUGUUUAAAAGAUGGCUUUGGCUAUCACUCUGGGAUGGACCUGCGGUGCAUUAGCUAGUUGGUAAGGUAACGGCUUACCAAGGCGAUGAUGCAUAGCCGAGUUGAGAGACUGAUCGGCCACAAUGGAACUGAGACACGGUCCAUACUCCUACGGGAGGCAGCAGUAGGGAAUCUUCCACAAUGGGCGCAAGCCUGAUGGAGCAACACCGCGUGAGUGAAGAAGGGUUUCGGCUCGUAAAGCUCUGUUGUUGGAGAAGAACGUGCGUGAGAGUAACUGUUCACGCAGUGACGGUAUCCAACCAGAAAGUCACGGCUAACUACGUGCCAGCAGCCGCGGUAAUACGUAGGUGGCAAGCGUUAUCCGGAUUUAUUGGGCGUAAAGCGAGCGCAGGCGGUUGCUUAGGUCUGAUGUGAAAGCCUUCGGCUUAACCGAAGAAGUGCAUCGGAAACCGGGCGACUUGAGUGCAGAAGAGGACAGUGGAACUCCAUGUGUAGCGGUGGAAUGCGUAGAUAUAUGGAAGAACACCAGUGGCGAAGGCGGCUGUCUGGUCUGCAACUGACGCUGAGGCUCGAAAGCAUGGGUAGCGAACAGGAUUAGAUACCCUGGUAGUCCAUGCCGUAAACGAUGAGUGCUAGGUGUUGGAGGGUUUCCGCCCUUCAGUGCCGGAGCUAACGCAUUAAGCACUCCGCCUGGGGAGUACGACCGCAAGGUUGAAACUCAAAGGAAUUGACGGGGGCCCGCACAAGCGGUGGAGCAUGUGGUUUAAUUCGAAGCUACGCGAAGAACCUUACCAGGUCUUGACAUCUUGCGCUAACCUUAGAGAUAAGGCGUUCCCUUCGGGGACGCAAUGACAGGUGGUGCAUGGUCGUCGUCAGCUCGUGUCGUGAGAUGUUGGGUUAAGUCCCGCAACGAGCGCAACCCUUGUUACUAGUUGCCAGCAUUAAGUUGGGCACUCUAGUGAGACUGCCGGUGACAAACCGGAGGAAGGUGGGGACGACGUCAGAUCAUCAUGCCCCUUAUGACCUGGGCUACACACGUGCUACAAUGGACGGUACAACGAGUCGCAAGCUCGCGAGAGUAAGCUAAUCUCUUAAAGCCGUUCUCAGUUCGGACUGUAGGCUGCAACUCGCCUACACGAAGUCGGAAUCGCUAGUAAUCGCGGAUCAGCAUGCCGCGGUGAAUACGUUCCCGGGCCUUGCACUCACCGCCCGUCA
rnacentral:rRNA from 1 species